UACGUAGGGUGCGAGCGUUUAAUCGGAAUUACUGGGCGUAAAGCGUGCGCAGGCGGUUUUGUAAGCCAGAUGUGAAAUCCCCGAGCUUAACUUGGGAACUGCAUUUGGGACUGCAAGGCUAGAGUACGGCAGAGGGGGGUAGAAUUCCUGGUGUAGCAGUGAAAUGCGUAGAUAUCAGGAGGAAUACCGAUGGCGAAGGCAGCCCCCUGGGUCGAUACUGACGCUCAUGCACGAAAGCGUGGGGAGCAAACAGG
rnacentral:rRNA from 1 species